rnacentral:rRNA from 2 species
ACGGGAGGCAGCAGUGAGGAAUAUUGCACAAUGGGGGAAACCCUGAUGCAGCGACGCCGCGUGAGUGAAGAAGUAUUUCGGUAUGUAAAGCUCUAUCAGCAGGGAAGAAAAUGACGGUACCUGACUAAGAAGCCCCGGCUAACUACGUGCCAGCAGCCGCGGUAAUACGUAGGGGGCAAGCGUUAUCCGGAUUUACUGGGUGUAAAGGGAGCGUAGAUGGCAUGGCAAGUCUGAAGUGAAAGCUCGGGGCUCAACCCCGGAACUGCUUUGGAAACUGUCAAGCUAGAGUAUCGGAGAGGUAAGCGGAAUUCCUAGUGUAGCGGUGAAAUGCGUAGAUAUUAGGAGGAACACCAGUGGCGAAGGCGGCUUGCUGGACGAUAACUGACAUUGAGGCUCGAAAGCGUGGGGAGCAAACAGGAUUAGAUACCCUGGUA